CCUACGGGGGGCUGCAGUGGGGAAUAUUGGACAAUGGGGGCAACCCUGAUCCAGCCAUGCCGCGUGUGUGAAGAAGGCCCUCGGGUUGUAAAGCACUUUCAGUGAGGAAGAACGCCUGGUGGUUAAUACCCAUCAGGAAAGACAUCACUCACAGAAGAAGCACCGGCUAACUCCGUGCCAGCAGCCGCGGUAAUACGGAGGGGGCGAGCGUUAAUCGGAAUUACUGGGCGUAAAGCGCGCGUAGGUGGCUUGAUAAGCCGGUUGUGAAAGCCCCGGGCUCAACCUGGGAACGGCAUCCGGAACUGUCAAGCUAGAGUGCAGGAGAGGAAGGUAGAAUUCCCGGUGUAGCGGUGAAAUGCGUAGAGAUCGGGAGGAAUACCAGUGGCGAAGGCGGCCUUCUGGACUGACACUGACACUGAGGUGCGAAAGCGUGGGUAGCAAACAGGAUUAGAUACCCGGGUAGUC
rnacentral:rRNA from 1 species